GUCAGGGAGGGAAGCAAUUCCUCUCUCUCUUAUCUGCUGUACUGCGUGGGCCAUGCCAUGGGGGACACACACUGAUGCCGAGGAGAGGAGAGGGAGGGAGGGGAGGGGUUUCCCGCCUCCACCAAACCACAAGAGGAAAAUACAACAACAAUCACACCCUGGCUCCGGAGUGGCGCAGCGAUCUAGGGCACUGCACCUCUGUCCUAGAGGCAUCACUACAGACACUGGUUUGAUUCCAGGCUGUAUCACAACUGGCCGUGAUUGGGAGUCCCAUAGGGCGGCGCACAAUUGGCCCAGCGUCGUCUGGAUUAGACUUUGGCCCGGGUAGGCCGUCAUUGUAAAUAAGAAUUUGUUCUUAACUGAUUUGCCUAGUUAAAUAAAAUAAUAAAAUAAUAAUAGCCGGGCAAUGGCAAAAUUUCAGCAAAUAAACGCAUGUUUCAAAUAAACUCUGUGUCAAAAUGAA